CGCGACAAGCCGGAAGGAGGCGGGGCGUGGUCGCUGGGUUGGUGCUUGUGGCGGUUUCCUUGUUGGAGUGUUGGGUUCACUAUGCCUGGCCAGCCCUAGGAGGCUGUUCUCCUUCACUAUUGCUAAAUUUCCCACCUGCUUACCAUGGAAAAAGAACUGCAACCUGACCCCCACGCCAGCUGGUGGCAGUCUUAGACACUGACGAGCAGCAAAAUCCCAUGAGACCUCAACUGAUCUGUACCAUAAUCUUAAUCAUCUUCUGGAAUUUGCCUCAUCUAUAUGGCUCCUUGUGGGUGUAUCACAGUUAUUGCCAUAUACAGAAAAUUCUGACUGACAUUUCCAGAGCUUUUUGGUGACAGAAGUGAUUUUCACAUUCCCUCAAGCUGGAGCAUAUUUUCACAAGCACUAUUUGGGUUCUUUGGAUCAUUCAUCUUUAAAGUAAGAGAACUCUAUCUAGACCACUUCCAUUAUCUUGUGAUUCAUGGAAAACCAUUGACAACAGGAUUACUGACUGAUCUCGUUUUUAUCAGUUUUAGUGUUUUUAUAGUUAUUUCAUUGGGUGGUUGUAAGAGGUUUUACUAGGGGGUGUUAGGUAGCACGCACUUUAAAUCAAGCUACCUAUUCAAAAUGUCGGCAUUUUUGAAUUACUAAUUUUAGCAGUAUCUCCCAAGAUAUUUCUGUUGAAGAAUAAUAUUUGUACUGUGAGAGUUAUAUCUGGAACUCCUGUACUCCAGAAUCAAAAACAAAAAUGUGAAGCAAUAGUUUCUAUUUCACAGGCUAAUUAAAGCAAGAGAUUUGGUAUUUCUUUACAAAAAGAAUGAUGAAGGUAGAUAGUGGCCUGGAAACCAGUGAAGCUGAUUGCAAAAUGAAUAUUUAAAAGCCCCUCUGAUUUAAUGUGCUCUUGUUUCCAUUCCCUUUAUUCUUUACAAAGACAAAGAGUCCUCUGUAAAUAUUGCUUUAAGGAUUAUCAGGCUUCAAUUUUCAAUUUUGUCCGAAGGCCAUAAUUUAAACCAUAAUAUUGGCUUUACAAAUGUAAACAGUGAUUGAACCUCUUUCCUUUAGCUAAUAGAAAUGCCAAUGAAAUUAGAGUCAAUUAAAUAAUUGCUUUAUUAACCUAAUGUAUUACUGCUGUAAGACGUGCUGUGGCUCAUCCAGUCAGGAGGGGAGCUAGGAGAGAA